UACGAAGGGGGCUAGCGUUGCUCGGAAUCACUGGGCGUAAAGGGUGCGUAGGCGGGUCUUUAAGUCGAGGGUGAAAUCCUGGAGCUCAACUCCAGAACUGCCUUUGAUACUGAAGAUCUUGAGUUCGGGAGAGGUGAGUAGAACUGCGAGUGUAGAGGUGAAAUUCGUAGAUAUUCGCAAGAACACCAGUGGCGAAGGCGGCUCACUGGCCCGAUACUGACGCUGAGGCACGAAAGCGUGGGAGCAACAGGG
rnacentral:rRNA from 1 species